UACGUAGGGCGCAAGCGUUUAUCCGGAAUUACUGGGCGUAAAGGGCUCGUAGGCGGCCAACUAAGUCAGACGUGAAAUCCCUCAGCUUAACCGGGGAACUGCGUCUGAUACUGGAUGGCUUGAGUUUGGGAGAGGGACGCGGAAUUCCAGGUGUAGCGGUGAAAUGCGUAGAUAUCUGGAGGAAUACCGGUGGCGAAGGCGGCAUCCUGGACCGACAUUGACGCUGAGGAGGCGAAAAGCUAGGGGAGCAAACGGG
rnacentral:rRNA from 1 species